CAAUAGCGUAUAUUUAAGUUGUUGCAGUUAAAAAGCUCGUAGUUGGAUUUUGGUUAAGAGCGACCGGUCCGCCGUUUGGUGUGCACUGGUUGGUUUUAACUUCCUGUAGAGGACGUGCUCUGGGUUUAACGACCUGGACUCGGAGUCUACGUGGUUACUUUGAAAAAAUUAGAGUGUUCAAAGCGGGCUUACGCUUGAAUAUUUCAGCAUGGAAUAACACUAUAGGACUCCUGUCCUAUUUCGUUGGUCUCGGGACGGGAGUAAUGAUUAAGAGGAACAGUUGGGGGCAUUCGUAUUUCAUUGUCAGAGGUGAAAUUCUUGGAUUUAUGAAAGACGAACUUCUGCGAAAGCAUUUGCCAAGGAUGUUUUCAUUAA
rnacentral:rRNA from 1 species